UAACUCUGAUCUCCCUUCAAAACGCAUAAAUCUUUCGCCUUUUACUAAAGAUUUCCGUGGAGGGGGACACUCAAAUGAAUCUACUCGUAUUUUUGAUACUCUGCUCUGCAGAGU